UGCUUUUCUUAAAUUCUGAGGAAAAAUUCACGUUCAAAUGAAACAGACAAAGAAAAAAGCCUCCUUUGAAGAGCCUCCCGAGGACCAGCAACUCCUGGGAAGUGCUGUUGGUAGGUGGUCUGAUGACAGGAAAGGUUUGCUGGACUGGGAGUAAGAUUGCAAAGUGGAGAUGCAGGAGAGCCUGCUUCAGUUUCGUUUCUGACUCUGACUGACUGUUUCUGGCCAAGUCACUUAACCUGAUGGAUAAAAAGAGAGCAGUGGGUUUAAUCCAUCUUUUGUGGGGCCCUGUGGGAGUGCUUGAGCAAUCAUUUGAUCCAGUUAUGCUCACCAUACUUACCUUCCCAAGGCACUGCAAAGCUCUCCCUGGUGAGAGUUAAGGGCUGGGUGCUAUAAAGUGUGCACUAUUACCUUGGAGCUAAUGUCCUCCCACAGUCAUUCUUUUAGAAAAUAGCAUUUUAAUAAGUAAAUGUAAAAAUAAUCAUCAUAAUGAAAUAUUAAAAGCACUAGUCAAGGUAAAUCCCAAAGCCACAGGGACCAAAUUGUUAACUCUCCUUUAUUGUUCCUUGUCCUGUCUUUAGGAGCCAAUUAUUUUUAUAGUGCAAAGAACAUUUGUGGAGAGCAGACACUGUUAAAAGCUGAAAAUUUACUGUAGCAAUAUUGUGUAGAUUGCCUGUGAGCAAAAGCUGGAGAACAGAUACACUUGUUGAGGGAAAAAUAUCCCCUCCUCUAGUUAUAAGAGUGAUAUAAUUUAAUGUAGCAGUACACACCAUAAUUCAUAGCAUUGUUUGUUCCUGUGCUGUGUCCAGCUGCAAGGAUGGAUGGAACAAAGAUCAAAAGUCGAACCAUCAAAUUCCUGGUGCUGCUGGGGGCUGCCCUGAGGAAGGAGAGGAUUGCCCAGAGUGCAGAAAGGCAAGCAGCUACCUACAGCUCUGUGUUAUGUGUCCCCAACACCACUAUGCUGUAGCACAGCUGUAUGUGUGGAAUAUUCCUUACAAGGCAGCAUGAACAGUGGUGGGUGUCCUCACAUUUCCAGGUGAGUUUAUGUUGUUCACACAUGCCUU
rnacentral:lncRNA from 1 species